AUUAACGCGAAGAACCUUACCUACCCUUGACAUGUCUGGAAUGCCGAAGAGAUUUGGCAGUGCUCGCAAGAGAACUGGAACACAGGUGCUGCAUGGCUGUCGUCAGCUCGUGUCGUGAGAUGUUGGGUUAAGUCCCGCAACGAGCGCAACCCUUGUCAUUAGUUGCUACGAAAGGGCACUCUAAUGAGACUGCCGGUGACAAACCGGAGGAAGGUGGGGACGACGUCAAGUCCUCAUGGCCCUUAUGGGUAGGGCUUCACACGUCAUACAAUGGUCGGGACAGAGGGUCGCCAACCCGCGAGGGGGAGCCAAUCCCAGAAACCCGAUCGUAGUCCGGAUCGCAGUCUGCAACUCGACUGCGUGAAGUCGGAAUCGCUAGUAAUCGCGGAUCAGCAUGUCGCGGUGAAUACGUUCCCGGGCCUUGUACACACCGAAU
rnacentral:rRNA from 1 species